rnacentral:rRNA from 1 species
CGGUUUGGCGGCGAGUGGCGAACGGGUGAGUAAUAUAUCGGAACGUACCCAAUAGCGGGGGAUAGCCCGGGGAAACUCGGAUUAAUACCGCAUACGCCCCACGGGGGAAAGGCCGGGAUCUUCGGACCGGUCACUAUUGGAGGAGCCUGCGUAGGAUUAGCUAGUUGGUGAGGUAAAGGCUCACCAAGGCGACGAUCCUUAGCUGGUCUGAGAGGACGAUCAGCCACACUGGAACUGAGACACGGUCCAGACUCC